GACAGAGGGUGCAAACGUUGUUCGGAAUUACUGGGCGUAAAGCGCGUGUAGGCGGCCCUGCAAGUCGGGUGUGAAAUCCCACGGCUCAACCGUGGAAGUGCACUCGAAACUGCAGGGCUAGAGUCCUGGAGAGGAAGGUGGAAUGCUUGGUGUAGAGGUGAAAUUCGUAGAUAUCAAGCGGAACACCGGUGGCGAAGGCGGCCUUCUGGACAGUGACUGACGCUGAGACGGCGAAAAGCGUGGGGAGCAAACAGGG
rnacentral:rRNA from 1 species